CCUAAUUUUUGUUAUCAGGAUUAUAGUUACUUUUCUGAGAGCUAUAAUCUUGUGAGUGGGUUGUAUUAAGUACAAUUGAACAUGCAUGUUGUACUACACGUAGAUUGUACUGAAAAUGAAUAUUUCACAAGUCUGUAAUAAUAUUAAACAUGUACUUAUUUUUCUUAGACUACAACAUGUACAUGUAAAUUUAGAAGCCACUUUACCUCACAGGUAUCCAAUCCAUAACAUAUGUUUUCAUCUGGACUGAAAGAUCUGAAAUAUUGCGUAAACAUCAUGAGUAUAAUGUAGGUACAAAAUACAACUUUGACGCAUCCAAAUAUUG
rnacentral:lncRNA from 1 species